rnacentral:rRNA from 1 species
AGCCGAGCGGCCUGUUACUCUGUCGUGUGUGAUGUGAGAGCGGCGUACGGGUGCGGAACAGCGUGCAACCUGCCUUUAUCAGGGGGAUAGCCUUUCAAAAGGAAAAUUAAUACCCCAUAAUAUAUUAUUCGGCAUCGGGAGAUAUUGAAAACUAUGGUGGAUAGAGAUGGGCACCUUUAAGAUUAGCUAUCUGGUGAGGUAACGGCUCCUCCGGCGACGAUCUUUAGGGGGCCUGAGAGGGUGAUCCCCCUCUCUGUUACUGACACUCGGACCAUACUCCUACGGGAGGCUUAUCCGAGGAAUAUUGGACAUUGGGUGGAAGCCUGAUCCAUUCCUCCCGCGUGCAUGAAUACAGCCCGAUGGGUUGUAAACUGCUUUUAUCUGGGGAUAAACCUACUUACGUAUAAUGAGCUGAAGGUACCAAAAAAAUAAGCACCGGCUAACUCCGUGCCCCCUACCGCGGUAAUACGGAGGGUGCAAGCGUUAUCCGGAUUUAUUGGGUUUAAAGGGUCCGUAGGCGGACUGAUAAAUCUUUGGUGAAAUCCCACUGCUUAACUGUCUAACUGGCAUUGAUACUGUUCCUCUUGAAUAGCGAUCAACUGGCUGGAAUAAGUAUGGUCACGUUGACAUGAAUAGAUCUUACUUCUAACACCCAUUGCGAAGGUCUGUCACUAAGUCUGAACUGACUCUGAUGGACGAAAGCGUUCGUUCUGACCAGGAUCAAACUCGGGGAUCCGGAACCCCGUAAACAAUGAUUACUCGUUUUUGGGUUUAAUGAUUCAGACACUAACGAAAGUGAUAAGUAAUCCACCUGGGGAGUACGUUCGCAAGAAUGAAACUCAAAAGAAUUGACGGGGGGCCCGCACCACCCGGUGGAGCAUGUGGUUUUAUUUCUUAUGAUACGCGAGGAACCUUAAUCCAUGACUUUAAAUGGGGAAUUU